AUUGAACGCUGGCGGCAUGCUUUACACAUGCAAGUCGAACGGUAACAGGCCUUCGGGUGCUGACGAGUGGCGAACGGGUGAGUAAUGCAUCGGAACGUGCCCAAUCGUGGGGGAUAACGUAGCGAAAGUUACGCUAAUACCGCAUAUUCUGUGAGCAGGAAAGCAGGGGAUCGCAAGACCUUGCGCUGAUUGAGCGGCCGAUAUCAGAUUAGCUAGUUGGUGAGGUAAAGGCGUCACCAAGGCGACGAUCUGUAGCGGGUCUGAGAGGAUGAUCCGCCACACUGGAACUGAGACACGGUCCAGACUCCUGCGGGAGGCAGCAGUGGGGAAUAUUGGACAAUGGGCGAAAGCCUGAUCCAGCAAUGCCGCGUGAGUGAUGAAGGCCUUAGGUUGUAAAGCUCUUUUACCAGGGAUGAUAAUGACAGUACCUGGAGAAUAAGCUCCGGCUAACUCCGUGCCAGCAGCCG
rnacentral:rRNA from 1 species